rnacentral:rRNA from 1 species
UCCCAGACUCCUACGGGAGGCAGCAGUGAGGAAUAUUGGUCAAUGGUCGGGAGACUGAACCAGCCAAGCCGCGUGAGGGAGGAAGGUACAGAGUAUCGUAAACCUCUUUUGUCAGGGAACAAAGACUGGGACGCGUCCCCGGAUGAGUGUACCUGAAGAAAAAGCAUCGGCUAACUCCGUGCCAGCAGCCGCGGUAAUACGGAGGAUGCGAGCGUUAUCCGGAUUUAUUGGGUUUAAAGGGUGCGUAGGUGGUUAAUUAAGUCAGCGGUGAAAGUUUGUGGCUCAACCAUAAAAUUGCCGUUGAAACUGGCUGACUUGAGUAUAUUUGAGGUAGGCGGAAUGCGUGGUGUAGCGGUGAAAUGCAUAGAUAUCACGCAGAACUCCGAUUGCGAAGGCAGCAUACCGGCGCCCUACUGACGCUGAGGCACGAAAGCGUGGGUAUCGAACAGGAUUAGAUACCCUUGUAAAA